rnacentral:tRNA from 1 species
GGGGCCGUAGCUCAGCUGGGAGAGCGUCGCGUUCGCAAUGCGAAGGCCAGGGGUUCGAUUCCCCUCGGCUCCACCA